GUUGUGGCCUUGAGCCGUGGCUUUCGGAGCUAACGCGUUAAGUAGACCGCCUGGGGAGUACGGUCGCAAGAUUAAAACUCAAAUGAAUUGACGGGGGCCCGCACAAGCGGUGGAGCAUGUGGUUUAAUUCGAUGCAACGCGAAGAACCUUACCUACUCUUGACAUCCAGAGAACUUUCCAGAGAUGGAUUGGUGCCUUCGGGAACUCUGAGACAGGUGCUGCAUGGCUGUCGUCAGCUCGUGUCGUGAG
rnacentral:rRNA from 1 species